UACGGAGGGUGCGAGCGUUGUCCGGAAUCACUGGGCGUAAAGGGCGCGUAGGCGGCUUGGGAAGUCCGUGGUGAAAGCUCGUGGCUCAACUACGAGUCGGCCAAGGAUACUCCUGAGCUCGAGUCGACUAGAGGCUAAUGGAAUUCCGGGUGUAGCGGUGGAAUGCGUAGAGAUGUGGAGGAAUACCGAUGGCGAAGGCAGCCCCCUGGGUCAAUACUGACGCUCAUGCACGAAAGCGUGGGGAGC
rnacentral:rRNA from 1 species